CUGGUCUGUCUCGCAGAAGAGCUUCAGAGCCUCCCCGUGCUGCUCGCACACCAUCUUGCCCCCGGCUCCCUCCGCUGACCCCACGCUCAGGCCCUUGACCACUUCGACUAAAUUGCCUAACUGCCUGUUUGGGCCCAGGAGCCUCUGGGCAAAGGUCUGUCUGCACUGGGGGCAGGUGACGUCCGUCUCGGCCCCCUCCCAGCACUGGGCGAUGCAGGCUCGGCAGAAGUUGUGCCCGCAGCCCACGAUCAUCACCGGGUCCCUGAACAACUCCAGGCAGACAGAGCAGGUCGCCUCGUCCCAGAGGCUUUGUACAGCGCUCGCUGCGGCCAUGGCUGUGAGACGGGAGGGCACGGGGCUACUUUCACUUUCCUGAGCUCAGGGCUGGGCUCACCCCAAGCCAUUUCCUUCCUGCGAAAGAACGGCACUGAUGCUGAGCUGGGAGGAGCCAGGGUCAAGAUCCAGCCCUGGGAUUGCAGGGGAUCUGGUAACCCUUUGUGGAGCAGCAGCUCGGCACAACUCCAGUGAAAACAGCAGAAAAAGGGUUUGAAGCCACUACACAACAAUUCAACACACCCAGCAUUUCUCACUGUAUCUGCUGUCAGCCAAGAGCUUUUCAGAGCUGUCAGGACUGUUAUUUGGGGCUGAGACCUGCCUAAAAGCUCAGAGCAGGCAGGUCUGGGUAGAUCUGAUAUCUUUGAUUCAACCAAGUAAAUAGUUGGGAAAAAGUUCUUUGCAAGUUUUUGGGCACAGACACCCUCUUCAAACAUUAGGAGACUCCUCUGCUGUUACUCUGAAGUUGGCGCAAGCAGGCAUAUUUACUGCACAGUACGGGUGUGCACAUGUAGACACGCACCCAUACUGUGCAGUUAUUUCAGUUACUGCACAGUAAAUGCGUACGUGUAGUUGCACCCAGCGUCUAUCGGAGCACUACAAUCCCUCCCUGCCUCCAAGGAGUCUCCAGGCAGCUCCCAGGGAGGGUUGUAACCACUGAAGGGAAACUCAUGCCUCUUGUCUCCUGGUUUCAAAUGUGGAAUUAAACAAAAUGAAUGCCUUAAACUUUGGUCAAGCUAAAACUAUGAGUCGUAAGAAGACCCUGGCAGCUGAGUGGGGAAUUGCUGGCUCUGCAUAUUAGAACAGACAGGGAAAAUGUUUGUUCUUUGUGUGACGGGCUGGCUGGCAGUGACCUAGCCCAGGGAUUUUGAAAGGGCAAUAGAUGAUUGGAGGACUUGGGAUUCCCUUUCCUCACCAAUCAGGCUCAGAGAUUCACCCCUCAUGUCCCGUGAUUGGCUCCUUCGGUCACCUGGAGGGGGAUAAAAGGGGCAGCAGGGCUGACUCAGGAAAAGACCAGUGAGCGACUAUGAGGAAGGAGCUUCAAAGAGCUGGUAAGAGCUGAGCCAGGGGGGCAGAAGCAGUUGCCCCAGAAGAGCCUGAAGGAGCAGGACCUGCAGGUAGCAGCUGAGCCCUUAGCAGCAUGGUGUGUGGCUGGUAGGAGAGGUAUCUUGCUGGGCUCCAGGAUCCCCUGCAAGAGGCUGUGGCCAGCAGGAGGAUCUGAGCAGUGACCUGAGGGAUCCUAGCUUGGCUUCCAGCUUCUCCAAUCAGAGGCCAGGCAGCUCGACGCAAGGCUGGGGCGCCAGGAAGGUGAAGACCCUUGGUAGCUUGGAGCAGUACCAGCACUGGUGGCUGCGUGGCAGUGUUUCUGCCUACCCCAUGGGACAUCCAAGGUCAAGUCCCAGCUUUGGUGACUUGGAGUGAGUGAGCUAACAAGGAAAUAUGUCUCUUGUAGUGGAAAAGGACCAUUGUGUUUUUCCCCUUUCCAGGAGCAGAUUCCCCUCCCAGAGGAUGGUCACAGGGACCCAGGCCAGCCUCCCGCUCACCAGAGAGGCUAGCACCCAGGCAGAGGGACCCUGGCACGCAGACACUUCCAUGCAGACCUGGGCUGUCGGCCUGGCUGAGGUGGGGUGCCAGGCUGGCUAAGGGCCCAAAUCUGAGGCGAGCACCCAGACCCAGGGGCAUCAUGGUCCAAAAUGGAGAAGACAGGGGGAAAGGAGAUGAACAGCUGAACUCCUUCCCUCCCCGCGCACCCCUGUCCUCCCCUCCCUCCAUCCUCCCCUGCCUGAUCUGGGAUGGGUCCACAGGAUGCCAGCGUUGGUGAUUCUGCCUCUCUGAGCAUGCAGAAGCCUGUCCUCUCAAGCCAUCCUCACAAGGUUUCCUUCCUGUGAAGUAGUGUGUCGUUCCUGAUGCACAAGGUCAUUCCCAUGUUACAAGAAGACAUUCAUAGUCCUCUUGCUUCAAAAGCAAGUCCCACAGUGAUGGGUGAAUGGCGAUGGGCGCAGACAUGUAUGAUUACCAGAAGCCCCUGGUCACGGACCUUCCCCUAGUCAUGGACCUGCACAUACAGAGCCAAUGACUGGAUGAUGAUGAUUUGUAAUUUGAAUUGACACAGGUGUGUAAUUAGGCAGCUGCAAUUAUACCCCUCCUCCUCAUACCCUUCCUCAUCUUUGACAUAAAUAGGCUAGAUUAAGAGUCUACAAACAACUGCUUAUAAUCAAUUCACUACCAAUUUUUGAGGUUAUUAAUGACCCCCAGAGACCAAGGCUUAUAUCGAGAAGGCCAUUUUGAUAUUAAGGAAAAUGGAUCCAGCAAUGGGAGAAAAUUGACAUAAUUAAUACAUUUAUUUUCAUGGACCCCACAUCUAAACCUCCUGGUUCCCUUUUCCUAAGGCAGAGCUGGACUACACUGAACAAGGUUCAUAGUGGAAAACUACCUACUUUGUAAAUGGAAUUGUAUUAAAGCCCCCAAGUACAAGUGUGACAAAAUCCAACCUGUAUCACAUAUCACAGAGGACUGUCCUAUCUGUCUUUGUCAUGAUUGCAUUGUAAACCUACACCAGGCUGCUGAUGUUGCCUCUCCAUGAGCAUCAUACCUGAAACUCACUCUCGCCUUAUCCUUCAGUGACAUUGCUGAUAGGAUGCUUAGAGCUUGUUCUGUUAUUCGGAUGCUGUAUUGCAUAGGAAUCAAAGCAAAAAAUGGAAACUGUUGUGCAAAACCUCUGUUUACAAUGCUGGCUCCUAACUGACUCUAUUAUCAUGCAUUGCAAAGCCCACCUCAGCAUGGCUAUGACCCGAGCAGUGCAGGAACCUGGCUACUAUAACGGCCGUAGCAGAAACGCUCACUUUGUGGCACGGUCAGAUCCUGGCAAUCUGCAGGUUCUGCUGAAUCCCUGUCAUCGACUGUCUCAGGCAGGACACGAGAAGAGGAGGAGAAGACAACCAGCCCCAAAGGCUGCUGGAUAGAUCCUUGUUUGAUAUGUCCCCCCAUGCCCAUCCGCUUGGACACAAAAUGAUGUCAGCAAAAGAAGCAACCAAAGAAGAGGUUCAAUAUCAAGUGCUUUAAAACCUGCUAAAAGACAUCACCUCCAGCAGUGCCUGAGGGAGAAACGUGCCAAGUGCCCUGAUGCUCUUGACACCACUGAUCACUCAGGAAAGAGCAAGAGCUUCAAGAAAGGCAUCCAUUAGCCAUGUCAACCAUCCAAGGCUUCUCCACAAACAAAUGUCAGGACUGGUUCAAGUUCAUGUCUUUCAAAUAGACAGAAGACACAACGACAUCAACUUUAAAUCGAAGUGCCUGUAUCAGUGAUCUUCAGUACAGAUAAUUCAUUCAAUGGCCCCUUCCAAAUGGACAGUUUCGCAAACAUAGAUGAAGUAUGGUUUUCCCUUUUUGCGUGUGUUAGAAAAGACUCCACUGAAUAAAUGUUUAAUGUGGAGCA